rnacentral:rRNA from 1 species
UACAGAGGGUGCGAGCGUUAAUCGGAAUUACUGGGCGUAAAGCGCGCGUAGGCGGCUUUGCAAGUCGGGUGUGAAAUCCCCAGGCUUAACCUGGGAACUGCAUUCGAGACUGCAUUGCUAGAGUAUGGGAGAGGGAAGUGGAAUUUCCGGUGUAGCGGUGAAAUGCGUAGAUAUCGGAAGGAACAUCAGUGGCGAAAGCGACGUACUGGACCUCUUCUGACGCUGAGGCGCGAAAGCUAGGGGAGCAAACGGG